AAAAAAUCAGAGGAAGGGUGCAUAUGCUGUCUCUUUCUGGGACACCAACCCUCUCUCUUGCUCUAGGAUAUCAGAGCUCCAGAUUCUCUGCCUUUGGACUCUGGGACUUACACCAGUGGCCUCCCAAUUUCUCAGCCUUUGGCCUCUGGGACUUACACCAGUGGCCUCCCAGUUUCUCAGCCUUUGGCCUCGGACUUAGAGUAACACCAUCAGCUUCCCUGGUUCUCAGGCCUUCAAACUCAGACUGAAUUAACCACCUGCUCUCCUGGUUCUUCAGCUCGAAGACAGCAUAUCAUGGGCCUUCUCAGCCUCUAUAAUUGCAUUGCAAAGAUUCCACCUACAGAUGGCUAUGCAAUCCCAAUACCAGCCUGUAACAGCAACUUCCAUUUGCAUGGGGCCUUUUGAUGGAACCCGGUUUUCCCUGUCCUGAACGAGUUUUUCGUGACCCUUCAUUCCCUUCAUGACAGAGCAAGAAAGGAAAAAAUGCAACCUAUCCCUUCAAUGCCCCCUUUCAGCAGGAAGUAACCAGACUCCACACUCCUCUUCACUGUGGUGUUUUCCCUUUCUUGAGACCCCAAUUGUCAGGCCUGAGCCCAAGCUAAGUGAUCAUAUCCCCUGCGACCUGCACAUAUAUAUCCAGAUGGCCUGAAGCAACUGAAGAACCACAAAAGAAGUGAAAAUAGCCAGUUCCUGCCUUAACUGAUGGCAUUCCACCACUGUGAUUUGUUCCUGCCCCACCCUAACUGACCAAUUGACCUUGUGACAUUCCUUCUCCGGGGCAAUGAAUCUCAGGAGCUCCCCACCAAGCAUCUUGUGACCCCCACUCCUGCCCACAAGAGAACAACCCCCUUUAACUGUAAUUUUCCACUACCUACCCAAAUCCUAUAAAACUGUCCCACCCCAUCUCUCUCCCUUUGCUGACUCCUUUUUCAGAUUCGCCCACCUACGCCCAGGUGAUUAAAAAGCUUUAUUGCUCACACAAAGACUGUUUGGUGGUCUCUUCACACGGACGCAUGUAACAUUUGGUGCUGAAGACCUGGGACAGGGGGAUUCCUUCAGGAGACUGGUCCCCUGUCCUCGCCCUCACUCCUUGAGGAGAUCCACCUACGACCUUGGGUCCUGAAAUCAGCCCAAGGAACAUCUCACCAAUUUCAAAUCAGGACCCCACUGGAAAUCAGACUGUCCAACUUGCCCAGCAGCCAUUCCUAGAGCCCCUGGAACUCUGGCCCAAGGCUCUCUGACUGACUCCUUCCCAGAUCUUCUCGGCUUAUCAGCUGAGGACUGACGCUGCCCAAUCGCCUCGCAAGCCUCCUGGACCAUCACAGACACUUCAGGGGGCUGGAGCCCUGGGCCAAGGGAGACCUGUGACCCCAGGUGCCGCCGGGAGAACUUCAGCCCAGAGGGGAAAUCAGCUCUCCGUGACCCAGCACCCCUACCCAGCAGCGCAACAGAUCCUGAGAGGAGCUACAGGAUGAUUCUAGAAACAGCGCACUUCAGGAAUCAUGUUGCAGGUGUUGUGCAUUGGAUCCACCACAGUCGGCUGAAACUGACAACUCAAGACAAGUGGACCAGCCAGCAGGACCCAGAUCAUCCAACUCGGCUGAUCCUGAGACGGGACCAAACUGCUGCCGAAGACGACCGCCCUGUUCUGGUCACUCCGGAGGCUAACCAGCCUACGCAUGGCUGAAGUUUGAGGAAACAACAAGCCCUGCUCUAGUCACACACUGAAAGCUGACUAGUCUAUGCACGGCCAAAGCUUGAGGACUCAUCAAGCAAGUAAAUGUAGUUAGAAAUCUUAGAACUAGUAGUUUUCCUUGUAAUAUUAACUGUUUUACUAUUGUUCUGUCACUGUGCUCAACCUCCUCUCCCAAAUAAGGACCUCUUCUGUCCUUACUAGAUAUGAAUAUACUGUACAUUGUUUUACUGUUGUUACCCCACUUAACCAUGCUAGAAGAAACACCCAUAGAAGGGUGUCCCCAUCGUACACAUACUACAUGGUCAGAAAACAGUAUAACCAGGACUCUAUUAUACCAUACUUAUUAUGAGUAUACAGGGACUCACCUAGGAACUUGUACUUACAAUCAGAUCACCUAUUCAAUUUAUGACCCAGGAAAUGGCCAGCUACCUAGGUGGAAGAUAGGUCAUGGAGUUACCGUACUCCUACUUACGUGCUUAAGCGCAUCAUAAGGUUACAGGCAGGGCUUGAGAUCAUCACUAAUAAACAUCAAAUGCAUUAGAUUUACUGACCCAGCAAGCUACAAAAAAUGAGGAAUGCUAUCUAUCAGAACAGAUUAGCUUUAGACUAUCUCCUAGCCCAGGAAGGAGGAGUAUGUGGAAAAUUCAAUCUAACUAAUUGUUGCCUGGAAAUCAAUGACAAUGGAAAGACAUUUAUGGAAAUAACUGCAAGAAUAAGAAAAUUAACCCACGUUCCAGUUCAAACGUAGAAAGGGUGGUCUCCAGAUUCUCUCUUUGGAGGCUGUUUUUCAUUUUUCGGAGGGUUCAAGACUUUAAUAAGAUUGAUUCUGGCCAUACUAGGAAGUUGCCUAAUACUACCUUGUCUCUUACCUCUCCUUGUUAGAAACAUUCAGUCAACUAUAGAGGCAAUAGUAGCUAGGCAAACUACCAGUCAGCUAAUGGCUCUAUGUAAAUGUCAACCUUUGUCUAAAGAAGAAAACUUGUCUCUUCAUGCAAAAUUAAAUAAUAGUGAUGCCUCCUAUUAAAUUUCUUUUAUAAAAGGCAUCAAAGGGGGGAAACUGAGGCAGAAAUUUAAAAAUAAAUAUGCAUUCAUUCACUCCAAGAAAAGUUAACAGGCAAGGCAAGGGUUAAAAAGAAAAGAACAAGUUUUCCUCGGCCUAGCAAGCUCACUUCAAGGACAGUUAUAAGAUAAUGUUGUUUGAGAAGCCAAGUCCAAAGGAAUGGGUUCCAGACAUCCCUCCCCUCUAGAACAAGGUUGAAGGAAAAAAAAAAAAAAAGAAGAAGACAAAUUCCUUUACUGUUACUCCUUUCCCUGGCUUCUUAAGCAUGAUUAUGUUUUACAAAUGUCUGUAUUUAGCCAGUUCUUGAUUUUCUUUUGACACAGCUCCAAGGCCACCAGCUAUGCAAGGCCACAAGUUAUGCACUAUAUGAUUAACUGCUUUUGUUUUACUUUUGUAAGUCCACUUAUAAAAACCCUGCUCUGUCUUUGUUUAAUGCUCAGCUUUUUGGAUUUGAAUCCACUCAGCCGGUGCACACCUUAAAAUAAACAUCCUCCUGUACUCUCAUAUUGGUCUCUCCAUUCCUCAGUUUCCCACAAGAUUACAAGCAUGAGCCACCGCACCGGGCCCAUUUUAACCAUUUUCAAAUGGAGAAUUCAGUGGUAUUAGGUACAUUUAUAUUGUUGUGCAACCAUCACCACUAUCCAUCUACAGAACUCUUUUUAUCUUGUGAAACUAAAACUCUAUACCCAUUAAACACUAACUCCUCACUCCUCCCUUCCCUCAUCACUUGACAGCCAUCCUUCUACUUUAUGUCUCUAUUCAUAGGUAUGAGCUCCCCCAUGCCUGCCCAAAUCACUAAUCUAAAAGGAAAUGUCAAGCUGAGAACUUCUUAGGGCAAACCUGCCUCCCAUUCUAUUCAAAGUUACCCCUCUGCUCAGAGAUAAAUGCAUAUCUCAUUGCCUCCUUUGGAGAAGCUAAUCAGAAACUCAAAAGAAUGCAACCAUUUGUCUCUUUUCUACCUAUGACCUGGAAGCCCCCUCCCUGCUUUGAGCUGUCCCGCCUUUCUGGACCAAACCAAUGUUCAUCUUACAUAUAUUAACUGAUGUCUCAUUUCUCCCUAAAAUGUAUAAAACCAAGCUAUGGUCUGACUACCCUGGGCACAUGACAUCAGGACCUCCUGAGACUGCGCCAUGGGUGCACAUCCUCAACUGUGGCAAAAUAAACUUUAUUUUUUAUUUUUAUUUAUUUUUUAGAGACAGAGUCUCGCUCUGUAGCCCAGGCUGGAGUACAGUGAUGCAGUCUCGACUCACUGCAACCUCCACCUCCCAGGUUCAAACAAUUCUCGUGCCUCAGCCUCCUGAGUAGCUGGAAUUACAGGCUUGCGCCACCACACCCGGUUAAUUAGCAAAAUAAAUUUUCUAAAUUAACUAAGACUUGUCUCAAAUUACUGGGGUUAACAUUUUGGUAACCACAGAGGGACUCUGCAUGGAGGAACACUUGAACUUUGACAAAUCUUUUACUGGUGUUUGGUAUCAGCAUAAGCUAACUUUAUGAAUAGUUUGCUGAGGCCUGGGAGCACUCCUUCCAGAGAAUCCCUGCUCUCCCAAAGUUUGGUUGAGAUCUAAAGUUUAUUUUGCUGUACAACUCCCUCUUAUUUAUUUUUUUUUUUUUUGGAGUUUUACUUGCUUCCAACAAGAAAGGCAAGUUUUCCUGCUUCCAUGACAAUGGAAGGCAGGUAAUUCCUUUAUGGAGUUUGAGCUUGCUUCCAACAGAAAAGACUAUUUUUUUUUUCCUGCUUCUAGGACGUAGAGAGUAGUCUUCAGCCUGAGACCCAUCCCUAGGUAAGUAGCUGAAUUGAGGUUUUGUCUUGGCUAAAGUUAACAACCAAAUGGUCAUAAUUUCUCCUUACUGUUAAAGUGUUCAGUAAUCAUGUAAGUUGUGUGAUCAUUUGUUUUGUUUAACUGUUUUUCGUUGUUGUUGUUUCUGUUUUUGUUGUUGUUUGGGUCUUUGUCCCAUUAGGUUUGACCAACUCUAUCAGACUUGAUCAAAUCUGAAGGAAAGUUCCAAAUUAUGGGGAAGGCCUAUCAAAUACUUAAAUUCCCAUACACACACAAAAAGGUGGUAUGGUGGGGGAGAAAAACUGCCAGCAAAAAGAAAAAAGAGGUAAGAUUUUUGAUUUUGAGUACUACACGGGCUUUAUUUACAAGGCCACCUUUUAGCUAGCCAGGCCAAUCUGAAAGAGCAAUGGUUGUACUUCUGAAAUAGCAGCAAUUUUAAAAACAAAAGCAAACAAACAAAAAAUUAAAAACAAAAAAAUAAAGGCAGCAGCAGUGGCUCAUGCCUGUAAUCCUAGCACUUUGGGAGGCCGAGGCAGACGGAUUGCCUGAGCUCAGGAGUUCGCAACCAGCCUGGGCAACAUGGUGAAACCCUGCCUCUACUAAAAUACAAAAAAUUAGCCGGACAUGGCGGUGUGCACCUGUAGUCCCAGCUACUCAGGAGGCUGAGGGAGGAAAAUUGCUUGAACCCAGGAGGCAGAGGUUGUAGUGAGCUGAGACUGCACCACUGCACUCCAGCCUGGGCAACAGAGCGAGACUCCGUCUCAAAAAAAAAAAAAAAAAGAAAAUGAAAAUGAAAUACAAAAAUCAGCUGGGCAUGGUGGCACAUGCCUGUAAUCCUGCCUACUCAAGAAGCUGAGGCAGGAGAAUCACUUGAACCCAGGGGCAGAGGUUGCAGUGAGCUGAGAUCGUGCCAUUGCACUCCAGCCUGGGCAACAGAGCAAGACUCCAUCUCAAAAAAAGAAAAAAGAAAAGCAGAUGAAAUAGCACCAAUUUGUUCCAGUUGAAAUAUGGUAAUGAGAUUUAAAAACUUCUUUUUUUAAAGGAGCUCAUUUGUUAAAGCCAACUUAAUUAAAAGCUAACAUCCA
rnacentral:lncRNA from 10 species